rnacentral:tRNA from 1 species
GCGCCCGUAGCCCAAUUGGAUAGAGCAGCGGAUUCCGGUUCCGCAGGUUGUGCGUUCGAAUCGCGCCGGGCGCG